rnacentral:rRNA from 1 species
AUUGAACGCUGGCGGCAGGCCUAACACAUGCAAGUCGAGCGGAUGAAGGGAGCUUGCUCCUGGAUUCAGCGGCGGACGGGUGAGUAAUGCCUAGGAAUCUGCCUGGUAGUGGGGGAUAACGUCCGGAAACGGGCGCUAAUACUGCAUACGUCCUGAGGGAGAAAGUGGGGGAUCUUCGGACCUCACGCUAUCAGAUGAGCCUAGGUCGGAUUAGCUAGUUGGUGGGGUAAAGGCCUACCAAGGCGACGAUCCGUAACUGGUCUGAGAGGAUGAUCAGUCACACUGGAACUGAGACACGGUCCAGACUCCUACGGGAGGCAGCAGUGGGGAAUAUUGGACAAUGGGCGAAAGCCUGAUCCAGCCAUGCCGCGUGUGUGAGGAAGGUCUUCGGAUUGUAAAGCACUUUAAGUUGGGAGGAAGGGCAGUAAGUUAAUACCUUGCUGUUUUGACGUUACCAACAGAAUAAGCACCGGCUAACUUCGUG